CAUAUUUAAUUCUUUUGUACUGUCUUCAAAUUCUCACAUGCAAUUUCUAUACCGAUUAGUUGCUUGUUUAUUUGAAUUGAUUUAGGAAUAACUCACAGGGAGUGAGUUUUAUAUCAAAAUGACUAGAACAUGAAUUUUGGAGUCUGCCUGACGAGUUAAAGUUGCAGACCAAAAAGUUACGAGUCUUUGUACUCGUAAGUUGUAUAUCCCCUUGAAGCUACCAUGUUCAUGCAGAAUGGAGAUAUUGUAUCCAUCUCUCUCUCUUUUUUUUUUUUUGGUAACUGGAAUUGAACUCAGGACCUCGCACUUGCCAGGUAGGUGCAGCGCCAUAUAGCUAAAUCCCCAGACCCUGUGUUCACCUUUUCUUAAAGGACUACUUGAGGAAUUAGAUGUUUAAAUUCUGGUAUCAAGACAGGGGUUGGACUCUUAUCUCUGCUUCUUAGCAUAGCAUCAUGGGCAAAUAAGUUAAACUUUUCUGAGUCUCAUUUCCCUCAUCUGUAAGUUAGGGUCCAUAAUAGGAUUUAUCUCAUGGAGUUGUUCGCAUUACGCAAAAUAAUGCAUGGAAGACUUAGAAUGCUACUUAAUACUUAGUAAGCACUUAAUUAAUGUUAAGUAUUACUAUAGAUAAUGUUCACUUAGUGUACCUGAUGCCAAGAGGUUCAAAUAAACUUUAAUUCUUUCUCUUGCUGGUCCCCACCUUUAAAAUUGUUGCCAUGGUAGAUGAACUUUGUAGAUCUAUUGGCUAAAAGGAUUUAACAUAGAACUUUCAUUACAUGAAUGGUGUUUGACUGUUUUACUCAUCUUACAUGACACCUUUGGGAGGAAAAACUCUUGGGAAGAUAACAAUUUAUCUGAAUUUAAAAAGGAUUAUGUUCUCCAAAUGUGGGCUGGAGACUUUUAUUGAACACAGCCAUUUUGUGUCAUGUUGAUUUCCUCAGGAUAUGAAUCAGAGAGAAAGAACUGAAGACUUGUCCCAGGAAGAAAAGGGAGGACUGGCAGCAGAUUUUUCACUGGUUUGUCUUUGGAAAAGAAUGAGAAGAGCUGGUAAACUCUCCUUCCUCACUUCUGCUCCUUGGAAAGGAAAAUAGAGGUACUGAAGAAAGAACAGAAAGCA
rnacentral:lncRNA from 1 species